rnacentral:rRNA from 1 species
CAUGUCCUACGGGGGGCAGCAGUAGGGAAUUUUCGUCAAUGGGCGCAAGCCUGAACGAGCGAUGCCGCGUGAGUGAAGAAGGCCUUCGGGUCGUAAAGCUCUGUUGCGGGGGAAAAAAGGCAGCAUCAGGAAAUGGGUGCUGACUGAUGGUGCCCCGCCAGAAAGUCACGGCUAACUACGUGCCAGCAGCCGCGGUAAUACGUAGGUGGCGAGCGUGAUCCGGAAUGAUGGGGCGUAAAGGGUGCGCAGGCGGUCAUGCAAGUCUGGAGAGAA